rnacentral:rRNA from 1 species
UACGUAGGGUGCAAGCGUUGUCCGGAAUUAUUGGGCGUAAAGAGCUCGUAGGCGGUCUGUCGCGUCUGCUGUGAAAACUCGGGGCUUAACCCCGGGCCUGCAGUGGGUACGGGCAGACUAGAGUGCGGUAGGGGAGACUGGAAUUCCUGGUGUAGCGGUGAAAUGCGCAGAUAUCAGGAGGAACACCGGUGGCGAAGGCGGGAUCCUGGGCCAGUACUGACGCUGAUGAGCGAAAGCGUGGGGAGCAAACAGG